GACGAACGCUGGCGGCGUGCCUAAUACAUGCAAGUCGAGCGGAAGUUGAAGAGCUUGCUCUUCAACUUUAGCGGCGGACGGGUGAGUAACACGUGGGCAACCUGCCCUGCAGAUCGGGAUAACUCCGGGAAACCGGUGCUAAUACCGAAUAGUUUUCGCCACCUCCUGCUGGCGUACGGAAAGACGGGUUCGGCUGUCACUGCAGGAUGGGCCCGCGGCGCAUUAGCUAGUUGGUGGGGUAACGGCCCACCAAGGCAACGAUGCGUAGCCGACCUGGGAGGGUGAUCGGCCACACUGGGACUGAGACACGGCCCAGACUCCUACGGGAGGCAGCAGCAGGGAAUCUUCCGCAAUGGACGAAAGUCUGGCGGAGCAACGCCGCGUGAGUGACGAAGGUUUUCGGAUCGUAAAACUCUGUUGUGAGGGAGGAACAAGUACCACUUAACUACUGGUACCUUGACGGUACCUCACCAGAAAGCCACGGCUAACUACGUGCCAGCCGCCGCGGUAAAAC
rnacentral:rRNA from 1 species